CCCUGCAUUUGUCAGUGGUCACGGGCUGCCCGUGUCCUGGUCAGCGGAAGUGCAGGCAGAGGAGACGGAAAAAGGUGGCCAGCGUUUGCAGGUUCCAUGUGGUUGCCUUCCAGUUCUGGGAGCUUUGCCACA
ensembl:snoRNA SNORA71 Small nucleolar RNA SNORA71